AGCAUAUCUUGUGCUUGAGGGUCAAAUGCAGAUUCAAUCUCAACUCAGUUAGUGUGUUUUCGGUGUUAGCCAAAAUGAAAACCAGACGACUUGAAAGAACUGCUUGAAAGAUUCGGCAGUGCAAUGACACCAGCUGCAAGAGCACAUACAGAAGCCAAGGCAAAGGCAGGUAUAUUGCCACCACCAAACAAAGCAUCCCAUGGACCCGCACCAAGGGAUA
rnacentral:misc_RNA from 1 species